CCUCAAGCUUUUCCCACAUAUCUUUGGCAGUUGUGCAGCAGGAAAUUUUCCGAUAGUCAUCCGGGUUCAAAGCACUAUACAACAUAUUGAUUGCCUUGGCGUUGUAUUCAUUUACCAUGGCUUCCCCAACUUUUGUCGACAUUUGUUCACCGUGCUUGAUGAUUUUCCAUAGACGAAAGUUGUUUGAUUGGAUGAAGAUUCUCAUCCGCUCUUUCCAAUAUGUGUAAUUGCUUCCAUCAAAUAGUGGAGGCAAAAUG
rnacentral:lncRNA from 1 species